CGCCCGGCCAAUUUUUGUAUUUUUAGUAGAGACGGGGUUUCACCACGUUGCCCAGGAUAGUCUCGAACUCCUGAGCUCAGGCAAUCCAGCCGCCUCGGCCGCCCAAAGUGCUGCGAUUACAGGCGUGAGCCACCGCGCCCGGCCUAUUUUAUUUUAUUUUAAGACGGAGUCUCACUCUGUCGCCCAGGCUGGAGCGCAGGGGCGGGAUCUCGGCUCACUGCAACCUCCGCCUCUCCGGCUCACUGCAACCUCCGGCUCACUGCAACCUCCAACUCUCCAACUCUCCAACUCUCCAACUCUCCAACUCUCCAACUCUCCGGUUCACGCGAUUCUUGUGCCUCCGCCUCCCGACUAGGUGGGAUUACAGGCGCCCGCCAGCACGCCUGGCUAAUUUUUGUAUUUUUAGUACAGACGGGGGUUUCAUCAUGUUGGCGGCCGGACUGUUCUCUAACUCCUGACCUCAAGUAAUCGGCCCGCCUCGGCCUCCCAAAGUGCUGGAACUACAGGCGUGAGCCACCGCGCCCGGCCCCAUUUCCUUUAUUUUAUUUUACUAUGUUCAGACGGAGUUUCGCUCUUGCUGUCCAAGCUGGAAUGCAGUGGCGCGAUCUCGGCUCACCGCAACCUCUACCUCCCAGGUUCAAGCGAUUCUCCUGCAUCAACCUCCGGAGUAGCUGGGAUUACAGGCGCACGCCACCACGCCCGACUACAUUUCCUUUAUUUUAUUUUUAUACUUUACUAGCCUGUUUGUUGAUCACAAGACUGGCGGUGCACAAGGUUGGGUCUCGGUGUUCACCGGGCGGUGGGCGUGGGCGAGGUGGGAGGGUCUCCAGCGCCUGGUGCUAAUCUCCAAGAAAGUGCAGGAAACAGCACCAAACGUGAUUGCAAAGUUUUGGUUUGGCGCGGCGGGUAGGCGUUCCAGCGCAGAAAUGCGCAGGAAAGUUUCUGCUGUGCUUGUAGGAAGGUCGGCCACAAGCACUUCUUUUGUUUUUUGAAACCGAGUUUCGCUCUGUCGCCCAGGCAGGAGUGCAGUGGCGUGAUAUCCGCUCACUGCAAGCUCCGCCUCCCGGGUUCACGCCAUUCUGCGGCCUCAGCUUCCCGAGUAGCUGGGACUAUAGGCGCCCGCCACCACGUCUGGUUAAUUUUUCGUAUUUUUAGUAGAGACGGGGUUUCACCGUGUUAGCCAGGAUGGUCUCGAUCUUCUGACCUCGUGAUCCGCCCGCCUCGGCCUCCCAAAGUGCUGGGAUUACAGGCGUGAGCCGCCGCGCUCGGCCGGCCCCAAACACUUCUUAUUGGCUAAUCUGGAGCAAACCUGCAUAUCCAUUGGCUGAAAGCUCCGUCUAUUUUAGGGUGACUGAGAGCGUCUCUUCCUUCUGUGUUGCCUGGAAACGGACUGUUCGCCUAGUAACAUCUGAUCACGUUUCCCAUUGGUCACCGUUUCCGGAAGCCCGCUCUCCCGUUUCCGGAAUCCCCGCAGGCGCUGGGUCUGCAGAUGGCGUCCAGGUACACAGUGGCGAGUGUGAUUCCGCAGUCUUGGGCUGUUUGGCCAAGCGCCCGCCGGACAUGGUACGCCGAAGGGUCAUCGGCGUGGAGUCCUCGCUUUCAGCGUCCGCGGCUGGGAAAUCGGCCAUCGCUACGGCGGGAACUGGGACUCGGGCUGCGUCCCGGCCCUUCCACAUCGGUCCACCGCACUCGUGGGCGCCCGCAUUGGUGCUGACAUAAUUUCCUGACCUCUGACCCGUAUUGUCUCGCGAUUAAAGGUCCAGAUUUGGAACAAAUCUCUCUAGAGAUUGAACAGAGCUGCGCCUGGAUCCCUCAGCAGUGAGGAGACCUGAAGACCAGAGGAAACACAGCAAGUAGGCCCUUUAAACCACUCACCUGUGUUGUCUUCCAAUUUAUUCUGUUUUAUUUUGUUUCCAUCAUUUUAAGGGGUUAAAAUCAUCUUGUUCAGACCUCAGCAUAUAAAAUGACCCAUCUGUAGACCUCAGGCUCCAACCAUACCCCAAGAGUUGUCUGGUUUUGUUUAAAUUACUGCCAGGUUUCAACUGCAGAUAUCCCUGGAAGGAAUAUUCCAGAUUCCCUGAGUAGUUUCCAGGUUAAAGUCUUAUAGGCUUCUUCUGUUUUGAGGAGGAGUUCCUGUCAGAGAAAAG
rnacentral:lncRNA from 10 species